AGCAAUACAAGGCAUACGGCUCAGUAACGCGUAGUCAACCUAACCUAUGGACGGGAAUAACCUCGGGAAACUGAGAAUAAUGCCCGAUAGAACAUUAUGCCUGGAAUGGUUUAUGUUCCAAAUGAUUUAUCGCCGUAGGAUGGGACUGCGGCCUAUCAGUUUGUUGGUGAGGUAAUGGCCCACCAAGACUAUUACAGGUACGGGCUCUGAGAGGAGUAGCCCGGAGAUGGGUACUGAGACACGGACCCAGGCCCUAUGGGGCGCAGCAGGCGAGAAAACUUUGCAAUGUGCGAAAGCACGACAAGGUUAAUCCGAGUGGUUUCUGCUAAAGAAACCUUUUGUCAGUCCUAGAAACACUGAUGAAUAAGGGGUGGGCAAGUUCUGGUGUCAGCCGCCGCGGUAAAACCAGCACCUCAAGUGGUCAGGAUGAUUAUUGGGCCUAAAGCAUCCGUAGCCGGCUCUGUAAGUUUUCGGUUAAAUCUGUACGCUCAACGUACAGGCUGCCGGGAAUACUGCAGAGCUAGGGAGUGGGAGAGGUAGACGGUACUCGGUAGGAAGGGGUAAAAUCCUUUGAUCUAUUGAUGACCACCUGUGGCGAAGGCGGUCUACCAGAACACGUCCGACGGUGAGGGAUGAAAGCUGGGGGAGCAAACCGGAUUAGAUACCCGGGUAGUCCCAGCUGUAAACUAUGCAAACUCAGUGAUGCAUUGGCUUGUGGCCAAUGCAGUGCUGCAGGGAAGCCGUUAAGUUUGCCGCCUGGGAAGUACGUACGCAAGUAUGAAACUUAAAGGAAUUGGCGGGGGAGCACCACAAGGGGUGAAGCCUGCGGUUCAAUUGGAGUCAACGCCGGG
rnacentral:rRNA from 1 species